ACCACUUGGGGAUCUUGUUAAAAUGCAGAAUCUGAUUCAGCAGGUCUAGGCUGAGGCCUGAGAAUGUGCAUUUGUAACAAGCUUCCAGGAGAUGCCCU
rfam:Homo sapiens chromosome 21, GRCh38 reference primary assembly.